AUUGAACGCUGGCGGCGUGCUUAACACAUGCAAGUCGAUCGGUAACGCGGGGGCAAUCCUGGCGACGAGAGGCGGACGGGUGAGGAACGCUUGGGAAUCUGCCCUUCAGCGGGGGACAACCCGGGGAAACCCGGGCUAAUACCGCAUACGCUCCACGGAGGAAAGCCGGGGACCGCAAGGCCUGGCACUGAAGGAUGGGCCCAAGUCGGAUUAGCUAGUUGGCGGGGUAACGGCCCACCAAGGCGACGAUCCGUAGCUGGUCUGAGAGGACGAUCAGCCACACUGGGACUGAGACACGGCCCAGACUCCUACGGGAGGCAGCAGUGGGGAAUAUUGGACAAUGGGCGAAAGCCUGAUCCAGCAAUGCCGCGUGCGUGAAGAAGGCCUUCGGGUUGUAAAGCGCUUUUGUCUGGGAGCAAAUCCUGGCCUCUAAUACAGGUCGGGGAUGAGAGUACCAGAAGAAUAAGGACCGGCUAACUACGUGCCAGCCGCCGCAGUAAGAC
rnacentral:rRNA from 1 species